CAGUGUCCAGAAACUGAUUCAUGUUAAUAUAGCAUUUCAAUCUAGUAGCAUUGGGGUAAUUGACUAUCAUUUGGAAAGAAUCCGCUUUAACAAAAUUAGCCAAGUAUCCCAAUAUAAUUUAUUGAGUAAUCUGUCUUUUCCCCAGUGACUUGAAAUGCCCAUUUUUUCAUAUACCAAAUCAAUUUCCUGAUUAUUUUUAAUAUUUUAUUCUAUUCAAACGAAUAAUUAUUCUAGCAAUAAGAUCACACUGUUUUAUUUACUUUUGCUUUAUAAUUUGUUGUAGUAUCUGGGAAAGUAAAUACCCUCUCAAACCCUGCUAUUACUUUUUAAUCAAAAUUUUCUAGACUAGGAGUUCCUGCUGUGGUGCAGUGAGUAAAAUGCUCCAGCGUUGCUGCAGCUGUGCUGUAGUCCGCAGCUCCAGCCUGGAUUUGAUCCCUGGUCUGAGAACUUCUGUAUGCCAUGGGUAGAGCCGAAAAAAAUAUUUUUCUAGACUAAUAACCAAAAUAUAUUUGUAAGAAAAAAUGUCAGCCGCAGGAAAAAAAAGAUAUGUGUGUGCAUUUGUAUACAUAGUCAUGUAUGUCUCUCUCUAUAUACACACGCAUAUACCUGUGUGUGUGUGUAUAUAUAUAUAUAUAUAUACACAUUUGCAUAUAUUCGCAUAUGUACAUAUAUACAUGUAUAUAUUUGCAUAGGCAUAGACAAUUCUUGGAAGGGCGCCUGUGAGGUUAAAAUAGUUACUUUCAGGGAAUGAGACCAUUGGAGAUUCUACUGAUAAGUGAGACUUACUUUUCCACUUUGGACCAUUCUUUAUUUUUUAUGUAUUCUUUUAAAAAAAUAUACGCAUUUCUUUUAUAAUGAAAAACAGUACCUGAUUGUCUCUGCCAGAGCCCAAGCAUAUACAAGGGUGUAUCCCAUGUAUCAGUGUCUCUCAGCUGUGGCUGCGCAUUGGAAUGACUUGGGGAGCUUUUAUGAAAUACAGGUGCUCAGGGACCUGUCCCCAGAGAUGCUGAUUUUGUAGGUCUGGAAGAGGGCUUGGGCAACAGUGUAUUUUAAAAGGAAUCUAGGUGGUUGUGAUGUGUAGUCACGGCUGAGAACCACUACUGCAGAUGAUGUGAGGCUUGAAAAGGUCCCCAGAGGGCUACCGCAAUGAAGUCUUUUCAGAAUAUAAUUACUUGGGAAUGCAACCCAAAGUAAUCCAUCACUUCUCUGUCAGGCUAACUGUAGUCAUGAGACAGCACACACAGGUCCAGAGGGGGGGUGUGGAAAAAAAGAAUUUUGCUUGAAUGUGUGUGGAGGCAUCCAUCUCUGCGGUAGGCCUUUUUUUUUUGAAAGGUACAGACGCCUUCAGGCUUCCUCAAUCCGUAAGGGAUUCUUUUAAACUUAUCGUGACCAUAAAAGACACAGCAAAACAGCUGUGUCGAUGCUGGAAGGUUCUCACAGAGCUCCAGGAACUAGCGUUACUUGGCGACUCUCCCACAGGAGACUUUUAAUAUUCUUUCAUCUAGAGAAUUGCUUUGUAAAAAUGAAAUGUCUAUUGGAAGCUUGAUCUGAAAAACAGAUCCAAGAGGACCCCGAAGAAACCUAAGGACGGACUGGAAAUCCAGUGUUACCAUAGCUCUCUCUGCCUCUUGCAUGUGUGUCUUCUUUGGAUGCUUCUAUCCACUGACUGAUUCUGCCUCUGUAUUCCUGACAAAGGAACUGAUUGGCCCAACUCAUCCACAGUGGUCUGUCCCUUGUUGGGCAAGACUUCCACGCCACGUGACUACAGAGAUGGGCCCAACAGUUCCUGGGGUCCUGUGCCCAUUCAUCCCUGGUCACCCGAGCCAGGGAGGGCAUGGGGAGAAAUGGGUGCGUAAAGCUGCCUUGGGAUUGCAGGGAGAAGGCUUGGACAACAGUGUCCCUUAGAAUGAGAGAGUGGAGAGACCAUCCACCAUGAUUAACCUGCCCAGGCCAAGCCCUAGCUGGUCAUCUGUGAGUGUUGAAUUGGAGGAGGUUUUCAACAGAGUGCGAAACUGCUUAAAUUCAAGCAAAGAGGUUAAGGAAAAACUGUCAGGAAUAAAUAGAUGGUUCUUGUACAUUAUAUAUCUAUAUCUCCUCGGAAGGUGUCUUCUUCUUCUUCUUUUUUUUUUUUUUUGGCCACACCUGGGGCAUGUGGAAGUUCCCAGGCUAGGGGUCCAAUUGGAGCUGUAGCUGCUGGGCUACGCCAUAGCCACAGCAAUGCCAGAUCUGAGCCGUGUCUGAGACCUACACCACAGCUCAUGGCGACGCCAGAUCCUUGACCCACUGAGUGAGGUCAGAGAUCGAACCUGCAACGUCUGGGUUCUUAGUAGAAUUUGUUUCUGCUGUGCUACGACAGGAAUUCCCCCCCCCCCGCAACCUCUUUUUUUUUUUUUUUUAAGAUUAGUCCCAGUUUACUGGGAAAGUCAUCUGUUUAUUUUCUUUUUAAUUUUUUAGUAUAGUUGAUUUACAAUGUUCUGUCAAUUUCUGCUCUGCAGCAAAGGGACCCAGUCAUACACAUAUACAUUCUUUUUCUUACAUUAUCCUCCAUCAUAAUGAUGAGAUAUAGUUUCCUGUGCUCUACAGCAGGACCCCGUUGCUACUCCAAAUGCUAUAGGCUGCAUCCACUCACCCCAAACUCCCAGCCCAUCCCACUCCGUGGUUCUUGUUGGUUCAGUAGCAGUGCGACCUCCUCUGGCUUGCUCUCUCUCUGCCUGGUAGACUGCAGCCCAGUUCCCUUUCUCAAACAGAACCACUUAAUCCCCUCCCGUGGUUUCCCCACGUCCCACACCCCGGCAGCGUUGUUUACGACUUCGCCUCAGCACGUCUUUGCAAAGCUUCUCUCUGCCUCUUGGCCUCUGUUAUUCUUUCCUUGUUCCCCCCACCUUCCUUUCUAGGACUGGCUCACAGCAAGCAUGGCACAUGUGUAUUCUUGCCCACUUUUUGCAAGUUUUCUACCCAAUAGCCUGCCUUUGGAGACAAAUGACUGCUUCCUAAUGCUUUGUCAUCAUUCAUCCUGGUUCCCCAUGGAACGAAGUUUGCGGAUGGGACUAAGUCACUUCUAGAAGUGUAUCUACUUCAAGAGUUAAUAAUGAGGGAGUCCCUGUGGUGGCUCGGUGGGUUACGAACCCAACUAGUAUCCUUGAGGACACAGGUUCAAUUCCUGGCCUUGCUCAGUGGGUUAAAGGAUCUCUUGUUGCUGUGAGCUGUGGUGUAGACUGCAGAUACGGCUUGGAUCCUGAGUUGUUUUCUCUGUGGUGAAGGCCAGCCGCUGCAGCUCUGAUUCGACCCCUAGCCCGGGAACUUCCAUAUGCUGCAGGUGCGGCCCUAAAAAGCCAAAAAAAAAAAAAAAA
rnacentral:lncRNA from 1 species